rnacentral:piRNA from 1 species
UAAUAGAUGAAGGAAUUGUCAUUGUCCA